rnacentral:rRNA from 1 species
UAGAGUUUGAUCCUGGCUCAGAACGAACGCUGGCGGCGUGCUUAACACAUGCAAGUCGAACGCGAAAAGCCCCUUCGGGGGACGAGUAGAGUGGCGCACGGGUGAGUAACGCGUAGAUAAUCUACCCCUUUGUCUGGGAUAACAACUCGAAAGGGUUGCUAAUACCGGAUAGUUUCCUUUUUGGAGGAAAGGUGACCUCUUCAUGAAAGUUGCCGCAGAGGGAUGAGUCUGCGUACCAUUAGCUAGUUGGUAGGGUAAAGGCCUACCAAGGCGACGAUGGUUAGCGGGUCUGAGAGGAUGAUCCGCCACACUGGAACUGGAACACGGACCAGACUCCUACGGGAGGCAGCAGUGAGGAAUAUUGCGCAAUGGAGGCAACUCUGACGCAGCGACGCCGCGUGGGUGAAGACGGCCUUCGGGUUGUAAAACCCUGUCAGGUGGGAAGAAGUGCUGGGUAGUUAAUACCUGCUCAGUUUGACGGUACCACCAGAGGAAGCACCGGCUAAAUCCGUGCCAGCAGCCGCGGUAAUACGGAUGGUGCGAGCGUUGUUCGGAAUCACUGGGCGUAAAGGGCGCGUAGGCGGCACUGCAAGUCAGAUGUGAAAGCCCAGGGCUCAACCCUGGACGUGCAUCUGAAACUGCAGAGCUAGAGUACUGGAGGGGAAAGUGGAAUUCCCGGUGUAGAGGUGAAAUUCGUAGAGAUCGGGAGGAAUACCGGUGGCGAAGGCGACUUUCUGGACAGAUACUGACGCUGAGGCGCGAAAGCGUGGGGAGCAAACAGGAUUAGAUACCCUGGUAGUCCACAGCCGUAAACGAUGAGAACUAGGUAUAGGGAGUGUUGACCCUUUCUGUGCCGCAGCUAACGCAUUAAGUUCUCCGCCUGGGGAGUACGGUCGC